UUGAUUGGGAUUGCCCCUUGUAGUGCUGUGACUUUUGUGUCAAGUCUCUUCACCGGCUCCAUCUCUGACCGAGAGCUGACUGAACGAAGUGGACUGCUGGAUUUACUGGAGCCAGGAGAUGGCUGCAUGGCAGACAAGGGUUUCACCAUCGAGGAGCCACUAGCUGACCGUGGGGCAACACUGAUUAUACCACCCUUCAAGAUGACAGUUCACCGAAGAGGAAGCUCUGAAAACACAAGCAAUCGCCCGACUUCGAAUCCUCGUGGAAAGAGCAAUACGCAGAGUCAAGGAAUACCGCAUCUGGGAACGCACUGUCCUCUCACCUUGUCUGGGACAGUCAACCAGCUGUGGACCGUCUGCUGUGUGAUGACCAACUUCCAGGGACCACUUGAUUUAAAAGGCGACAUCCCUGUUGAAUAGUGUUUCUACUCAAACAUAUACCUAUAAAUAUUAAACAUAAUAUAUAAAUACGAGAGACACUGAACAUUU